rnacentral:rRNA from 1 species
UACGAAGGGGGCUAGCGUUGUUCGGAUUUACUGGGCGUAAAGCGCACGUAGGCGGCUUUUUAAGUCAGGGGUGAAAUCCUGGAGCUCAACUCCAGAACUGCCUUUGAUACUGAGAAGCUUGAGUCCGGGAGAGGUGGAGUGAACUGCGAGUGUAGAGGUGAAAUUCGUAGAUAUUCGCAAGAACACCCAGUGGCGAAGGCGGCUCACUGGCCCGGUACUGACGCUGAGGUGCGAAAGCGUGGGGAGCAAACAGG